GUUAAAAAGCUCGUAGUUGGAUUUCUGGUCGAGUGUCCCUAGGCCGACUUGACGUUUGGUCCUAGGCGCUCUGCCAUCCUUCUGUUAACUCUCGCCUCGUUCGUUCGUGGCGUUAGGGCUCAGAUAUUUUACCUUGAGAAAAUUAGAGUGUUUCAGGCAGGCUUUCGCCGGAAUACAUUAGCAUGGAAUAAUGGAAAAGGACUUCAACCUCUUCUGUUGGUCUGAGAGGAUGUAGUAAUGAUUAAUAGGGAUAGUUGGGGGCAUUAGUACUUAACUGUCAGAGGUGAAAUUCUCCGAUUUGUUAAAGACUAACUUAUGCCAAAGCAUUUGCCAAGGGAUGGUUUUUCAUUAAUCAAGAACGAAAGUUAGGGGGAUCAAAGACGAUCAGAUACCGUCCUAGUCUUAACCAUAAAC
rnacentral:rRNA from 1 species